GUAGGGGUGAAGGCACCUCAUUAGCUAGACAAGGAAUCAUGAGGAGACACUGGCGAGCUCUGCUGGGGGUCCUGUGCAUCCAAGUUUGCUUGGUGAGAGGGCUGGAGGUGGAGCAGAGCCCUUCAGCCCUGAGCCUCCAGGAGGGAGCCAGCUCUACUCUGAAGUGCAACUUUUCUAGCACUCCAGACAGUGUGCAGUGGUUCCAACAGAAUUUCGGAGGUGGUGGCCUCACCCGGCUGUUUUACAUAGCCUCGGGGAUGAAGCAGAGUGGAAGGCUAAAUUGCACAGUGAAUGCUAAGGAACGGUCCAGCACCCUUCACAUCACGGCCUCCCAGUUGGAAGACUCAGCCACCUACUUGUGUGCGGUAGAGGCACAGUGCUCCCUGGUGAUCUGCAGCCUGCACCUAAACUGCAGCUGAGCCUGCAGCCCCAGCUCUUCCCUGGAGCAGGCAUUUGCCCCCAAAGCAGCCUUUGCACAUUUUCAGACUUUCAGAUUUAUGUUACAGCACUUUUUUUCCCCUUCUAAAAUUAGACCCAUCAGGGCUUUCAGUUCACUUGCUUUUCUUGCCCCUUUUCUUCCCAGAAAGUCCUUUGCUGAUAAAAAGCUCUAUGAAGAAGCCACUGGGCCAAAGACAGAGACGCCCAUAUCUAAUACCCUGGGAAACCAGAUCCCCUGGCAGCUAGUAUAUAAAUUAUACGUAAAUAGCCAAAUGGAAAAUGCUCAAAAAAUUCAAUGGUUGUCAACAAACAGAAAGAGAUUACUAAAUUUUUUAGUUACUUGUAGGUGGUUCUUGUUCAAAGAAAUGUAAGGAGAACGUAAUAUUUUUUAAAGUCUGUAUUCACCUUUUCCAGUCCUGGAAAUACAAAUAUAAUAAAAUAAUUUUA